GAACCUGAACGCACCACGGCACACGGAGAUCUCUCUAGAUCCACCCACUGACCUCUCCUCUGUUCCUUUAUUUAAAUAUCGUUUCAGAUUUUGAACCGAUGGAUUUGCUGCAGAAGCAAGUAUUUUCCCAUCAGGACGUCUGGAGCCCGACUCAUUCAGCGUGGAACAGCUGGGCCAGAUCCAUGAGCCGCAGGUCUUCUUUGCAGAGUGGAAUCGCCCCUGAAGCGAAGAGCUCCUCCUUCCAGUCCACUGACAAUUUGUAUCCGCACUAUUCAGGUAUUAAGA